CAGGAAUGAUUCAUCACAUCUGAACAUGGCCUGAAUGAAAUUACCUCCAUUUGUCUGAUUUCAUUUCCUCCAAGCAUCCUAUUGAUUAUCAUUUGGCUCCAGGUUUUGAGGUCAGAGUGCUUCAGUUCUGCUCUGCCCCAGCAUUCAGUAGUUAAAUUCAGCUUUCUUUAAUUUCUUAGAACACCACUUUCCUCAUUUGUAAAAUGACAUUAAAAGUAAGUACUUACAGGACUGUUGUAAUAAUUAGCUAUGAUGAUUAAAGCCAAUAAACUAAAGGGAAAUCUCCUAAGUAAAAUGGAGAUGGCAGAUAUCUGAGUUUCCAGAUAUCAGUGCUCCAAGUUGGCACCCUUCUUAAGAACACUGCCAGCAGAAGGGACACCAGCAGCCAGAUGUGAGGAGUACCAAAGGUAGUGGGAGCAUGAGAGGCUAGAGAGACAAUGCAUCUUGCACAUCAGGGAAUUGAGCAGUGGUGAUUAGACUCCUCUGAUGAGGCUUCCCAAAUGAUUCAGAGAGUAGUAGAAGGUACCCACUUAGGCAGAGGACAACAUAAGCCAAGAGUAGAUUAUAGUAGCCCAAGUUAGUAAGACUUUCACCCCUUCCCUCUAUUGCCUUUCUCCUUUUCCAACUCUGGAGAUGCUAUAAGGAAAAGGAGAGGGACUGUGGGGAUAAGAGGAAUGGGAAUGUCCACCCCACAGCAUGUCCUUCUCACUUGAUAUCUAGCAGGCACUGUCCAUGGGGAAAAGCAGGCAUUGUCAGUGUCCCCUCUGUAUCUUCUGGGCAUUCAUCAUUCCUAUAAAUGCAGAAGGAUUUUGCUGUAAGCACCUCUAACUCUGCCUAGGAGAUUUCACUGGAGUGUACAAGUUUUUCGAGACAGGGUCUUGCUUGUUACCCCGGCUGGAGUACAAGAGUGGGAUCACAGUUCAUGCAACCUUGAACUCCUGGGCUUCAGCGAUCCUCCUGCCUCAGCCUCCUGAAUAGCUGGGACUACAGGCACACACCACCACCCACAGCUAAUUCUGAAUUAUUUUGUAGAGAUGAGGUCAUAGUAUGUUGCUCAGGCUGGUCUCAAACUCCUGGUCUCAAGCGACUGUUCUGCCUUGGCCUCCCCAAAGUGCUAGGAUUACAGGCAUGAGCCACCAUGCUGUGCCUAUAACUUUUAUCUAAACAUUUUUUAGCUUUAUUCUACGUAAUACAUUUACUUCAUCUUUUGAGAUCAGGUAGGUAGAACUUCCCAGAUUGGUGCAGACAAGACCGUCUUUUUUUUUUUUUUUUUUUUUUUUUCCGGUACAGAUUCUCUCAAGAAGUUAGGGAUUGCACAGGCUGUCAGAAGCUGAGAUUCCUUAAUCUACUUUUACAAAAAAAUGAAGAAAAAUAUCACAGAGUGAAAAAGUUAUGAUAUCAAUUUGACCAGAAGUUCCAAUCACUUACAUUAUUUAUCACGUAGCCACUAGACCCUCUUCCAAUAAUCUAUGAUAUAUGGUGGUAGAUGAUGGUAGGAGAGAAUAUUCUUUUAUAGAUUUGCAGUAACUUUCUUGCCUUAGGCAGGGUGGAGUUGAGACUUGUCUAUUUUCUCUCAUUUUGGAUAAGGUGUAGCUCAAUCACCCACUUAACAUCUACCUCCUAAAAUGCCUUGCUCGUAGACCUGAGCUACUGAUCAAUACUUAUUAAUUUUAAAAUUCUUCUAUAUUUUGAGAGUUCAAGGACAGUUUUCUCUGGCUCUGUACAGCCUAGAAAGAGUAGUCUAGCAAGAGAGAGUUGAGAGUGCACAGUAUGGUAGAAAAUAACAAAUAGUUCAGUGGGUGUAUAAUGUAUCAUUUAAAAGGCUCAUUGUGAGAGAAGAGGCCAAGGAUGUUUAAAGGAAGAGUCAGCAAAAGGGGGAAGGCAUAUUGUUAGAUGCCUUACAUGCUGUUGCAGGGUUUGGACUUGAUUCUGAAAGCUGGGAGGCAUUAAGUGAGAUUGAGCAGGGGAAUAUAUUAAUGAGUUGUUGUUUUUGUUUGUUUUAUUUUAAGAAAAUUCACUCUGGAGGCUCUAUAAAGAACAGCUCACAGAAAUAAGUAGAUACCAUCUGACCAGCUAGAAAGCUCCUUUAGCAACUUGUUUCAGAAAGCUGAAUGCAUAACAAAUGUAGCAAUUGUGGAUUGAUAUAAAUGGGGAGGAUUGGAAAGGAGUUGAAAGAACUGAAUAGGUAACAUUUAUUGUUUAAUUAGAUAUGGUAAUAAAAACAUCAUAUCAAACGUGACUACAGAUUCUGGUUUGUGCAAUUGAGUGGAACUUGGAAGUCUAUUUAUUUAUUUUAUAUGCUGAUCAAGUUUUCAAAGAUGAUUUAAGGUGGCUAGAAAGAGUAAAUUAAAAAGAUUAAAUAUCAACAGCAGAAAUAUUAGAAAAAAAUUAAAGACAAAACAAAAGAAAUGAAAUGCAACCAAAAGAAAAGCAUGAGACAAAUGGAAAACUAUGGUAUUAUAACAAAAUAAGAUAGAACUAAAAGAAGUGGCAUGAGUAUGCAAAUAUAUUUAAUGAAAGCUUAUAAACUUGCUAAAGUUGGGUCACAAAUCAAUUCAGCACAAAGAUGUUUAGUAGGUUAUUCAAUAAGGGAAACAUAAUCGUAACAAGAUCCAUGUAGCUGCGUGGAAGGUAACAACAAAUCCACUGUUGCAGCAACUAGUAAUCAUUUCUGUUUCUGCAACAAGAAAAAUUCACAUCCAGGAAGUAGUGUCAUUUCCUUAAAGAGUAAAGAGAAGGAAUAGAUUAUAGACAGAAAUAAGGCUGAAUUCAGUCUAGCCAAUGUUAAGUCACUGCAUCUCUAACUAAACAGAUUUCUUGCUCUUUUCAAAUACUCACUGUCCAACACUUUGUGUUCUUCUUGAUUCCUAUCUGUGAGCCAGGAAACAAACAUUUUUUGAGAAUCCAUAAUGUACUUUUGACAGAGAAAUUUGCCUUGCAUCAAUGGCUUUCCUCUUUUUCUCUGCCUUAAUAACUCUAUCUCUUGUGAUUCCACCUCAUUCAUUUCCUAAUUCAUCAGUGCAGUUAUAUUGUAUUUUUAUACUAUGUAUUAACAACUGUGUGGCCUGGACUUCAAAGGCCUUAAAUACUUUAAAUCUUCUUUAUUCUCCACUUGCUGUCUCCAACAUCAAAAUUCUGUAAUCCAGGUUUUAUAAAAUAUGCAAUGUGUCUCACUGAUAGUGCUUGAAAAGAUUUUGGGAGAUACAUGAAUAUGGUCUUAAAUAACACAGAAUCACAUACUGAGAAAACAUUCCUCUUUCAAUUCUGUUUCAUAUUUAAUGAUGAAUUCAAGAAGCAGUUCUCCAUUUUGUAUAUUUGUAAGAGUUUUUAAUACUAAUCUUCUUUAAUCCAAAAUCUCUGCUUUAGAGUCUUUUAGCAGUCAGUGGUGGAUAAAUAGAAUUUAAAAAUUUGUUUUGUUUUUAUUGUAUUAUCUUUGAUUUUCACAAAGUGAUAGUGUUUUCUUUUUCCAGGGCAGUGAAAUAGAACUUCCUUUUAAAAUAAAUUUAUUUCAGUUAAGAAUUGAAUUGAGUGCAUUAAUAAUAUUCAGAUAUUAAUAUUAAAUGACGUGCAACUAUGGGGGAAAAAACUUUGGAAAAUAUUACACUUAUUUCAUGGAUAUAACACAAAUCAGAAACCUAAGAUGCAGAUGACUAACUUUGGGAAACAACUAUGAUGUCCACCAACCCAACCUACUUGCCUUUCUGCAAAUAAGACUGUAUUAGCAACUGUUAUGCCUUUGCUGUGCUGGCACCUUAGCUUCAAAAUCUCUCCUAGCCUUUUCCACUUGACGAACUCCUACUCACCUGUCAAAAAUUAGCUUCUGCAUCUCCUCCAAUAUGAAGCUUUUGCUUAUUUUACCUAUAAACUGUUACUUACUAAACUGUAGUGCAAGUAUUUGUUCAAGUAUCAAACUCCCCAUUUUACUGCAAACUUUUUGUAGCAAUGUGUUAUUUGUCUUUGUAUCUCUAAUUUCUACCACAAUGACAGACACAAAACAGGCAAAUGUUUGAUUAAUGAAUUAAUAAAAAUUUUGCAUAUCUCUUGUAGAUGAGGAACAUUGUUUUUAGUUUGUUUAAUAUUCAAUUAAUGCUAGUCUGUGUAUGUGUUUAAAUUUUAGCAGAAUUAACAAUAUGAAUAUACUUAAUGCCACUGAACUGUACACUUUAAUAUGGUUAAAAUGGUCAAUUUUGUGUUAUGUUUAUUUUGUCACGAUAAGUUUUAAAACUUUACAGAAGGUAAACAAAAAUUAAUAUUUUAAUGUUAUAUAUUGAGACAUAAUUUUUCCUGUGCAUACAUUAGACCCAUUAAAGAUGGACUAACCAAAGAUCAGUUUAAAAAUUUACUGGAACUUAUCACACCAGAAUUAGCAUGUAGCCUGAUUGAUGCGUCAAGCUUAAAAAUUGAUUGUGCUUGUUUAUGGGGAUGCAAAUAAAAUCCAAG
rnacentral:lncRNA from 10 species